UCUCUGCGUCCUCCCCCAACAGGACGGGUAGCCUGUCCUCAUCAGAGAGGUCUUCAAUGUAGUGCGCUGCCAACCCACAGCUCUCUGCGUCCUCCCCCAACAGGACGGGUAGCCUAUCCUCAUCAGAGAGGUCUUCAAUGUAGUGCGCUGCCAACCCACAGCUCUCUGCGUCCUCCCCCAACAGGACGGGUAGCCUAUCCUCAUCAGAGAGGUCUUCAAUGUAGUGCGCUGCCAACCCACAGCUCUCUGCGUCCUCCCCCAACAGGACGGGUAGCCUAUCCUCAUCAGAGAGGUCUUCAAUGUAGUGCGCUGCCAACCCACAGCUCUCUGCGUCCUCCCCCAACAGGACGGGUAGCCUAUCCUCAUCAGAGAGGUCUUCAAUGUAGUGCGCUGCCAACCCACAGCUCUCUGCGUCCUCCCCCAACAGGACGGGUAGCCUAUCCUCAUCAGAGAGGUCUUUGAAACCUUGAAUAAGGGUUUAUGUGCUUUUAAAUUUGUCUGGAAAUGCUGCUC